AAGACCCGUUGUCUCUCGUCUUUGUGCAACUUGACUGCCACGUCGCGUUGACUUCGUGGAUCAUUACAAUGACGUACCUCAUUGGAUCACUCCGAAGAAAGAAGUUCUUGGAAGUGCACACAACGAGAAUGUCUUCUUGGAAACUAAACGAAACAUGACUGAGCAGCUCUUAUAACGGGAUAGUCAUUGCCAUUUCCUGAGCAGGGAACACCCAGCCUAAAGGCAUUUUAGAGUUUUUUCCACUCACUUUUCAAGCCCCACAGAAUAAUGUGUACGAUGGAACGAUGAAAUCCAAAAACAGCAACAGAGGGGGAGAUACGUAUGGACCCCGGGAAGGUCAAUGCGGUGCUGCUGUGGCCUGCCCCCGCCAGCAGGAAGGACGUACAGAGGUUGUUAGGAUUUGCUAAUUUCUACAGAAAGUUCAAAAGGAACUUCAGCUCUGUGGCCGCUCCUCUGCACGCGCUCACCUCGCCACACAACGUCUUCGAGUGGUCCAGGACCUGCCAGGAGGCCUUCAACAGGC